CUCCUGGAAGAGCCAUUGCAGGUGUGGUGGCUGUGCCACAUGUGCAUCAGUAAGUGAUGAAGAGGAGAGAGGCUCUGUCUAAGGUCAGUGUUCUGACCUGUGAACACCUGAACAAUUAGUAGCCUAAUACU